AGUCGCCGACCUCCCCUCAAGGGGGAGGUGGGAACCGGGGGCAACCGGUUGUGGCAAUUCCAACCUCCCCCUUGAGGGGAGGUCGGAGAAG
rnacentral:pre_miRNA from 1 species